GUCUUUAAGCGCGUGUACACACACACACACACACACACACAUGGUUCUGAAGGACCGGGUUCCUUUCCCUCCGGUGUAGAGUGUUCAGGGUACCCUGCGGUGCCCCUGUUUUGCACUUUUCACCGAGGUGCUUUGUCGUCCUGCUUCAUUUUGGGGGGGAAACUGGGUUGGGCUCAAUUGAGUCGGACUACCGAGUUGUGCAGGGUGGGGAGACCACGGGCUGGGCCAGAGGCAAGUGGAUGAGCAGCUGAGUCGCCAACGCGGUCAGCCCCCAGGAGUGACCCACAGGAGAGACCGCGGCGGAUUUUCUGGAAGUGGCAAGGGGAGCAGAGCGGGACUUGGUGGUCAGGUACAGAUAAUGGAGCUGAAAGGACAAGAGACUCGAAAUAUAUGCCACGUCUCACGUACACGAAGGGCCUUACGUGUCGCCCUGUGUCUGUGUCUAGAGGCUCCGGAAGGCCUCGCAGAGACUCACUCCUGUGCAGAGGAUUCAGGAAAAUCCCUUGAUCGGGAAGAGCUGAGGCUCUUCGAAACGCUUGCUGCCCCCAGACGGCCCAUAUGUAUGUCUGUCUGUCUAUCGUCUGCCUCCUUCCACAGAGGAGCAUCAGGGACUUCGCUGGGUCCCACUGUAUGUCGGUCCGGCAGUGAGGGAGGCCAGCCAUGCCUUAGUGGAGGCAUUUACUGAGCUCUUUAUGGGCCCCGGGUUUGCAGUGAGGGCACAAGGAUGAACCCCCCCCUCCCGGCACUGCCCUGGAGAAGCUCACGUUUUUGUCUUCUCAGUGGGAGGGUUCUGUACGUUCUGUUCACCACCACCCCCCACCCGGAUCCUGCAGGUGCUAUCUGAAUGGUUGAUGGGCUGUCACUGGAAGAUUCUAGCUGUUUGUUAUCCAGUGGCCGCCUGGGCUCCUAGAAUUCUGCGAGGUUCCAUUCUAGGCAGACUGUCCAGUCCUGACCUCACGGAACCCACACAAAGAAGAAGAGAGCCCUGCUUCUUCCUCAGACGGAGGGACAUUUUGGAGGGGGCGCAAUUUAUUCACCUUACCUGGGUUUGUUUUGUUUUGUUUUUGGUGAUCUGUACAUUUUGUAAAUUGUAUAAAACAAACUAACCAUAUUAUAAACGUUUCGGACACGAAGAUGAUGUACGGUGUAUAUCAUCGUAACCCUAAUAUCGUUCC